AUCGAACGCUGGCGGCAGGCCUAACACAUGCAAGUCGAGCGAGCGGCGGACGGGCGAGCAAUGUAUGGGGAUCUGCCCGAUAGAGGGGGAUAACUACUGGAAAAGGUGGCUAAUACCGCAUACUAUCGGAUGAACCCACAUGGGAUUAGCUAGUAGGUGGGGUAAAGGCUCACCUAGGCGACGAUCUCUAGCUGGUCUGAGAGGAUGAUCAGCCACACUGGUACUGAGACACGGCCCAGACUCCUACGGGAGGCAGCAGUGGGGAAUAUUGCACAAUGGGCGCAAGCCUGAUGCAGCCAUGCCGCGUGUAUGAAGAAGGCCUUAGGAUUGUAAAAUUCUUUCGUCGGGGAGGCGUUACCCACAGAAGAAGCACCGGCUAACUCCGUGCCAGCAGCCGCGGUAAUAC
rnacentral:rRNA from 1 species